ensembl:lncRNA
UUCCCUAAAUUUCAUCCUGGGGUGAACUAGGUGUGGCCAAGAUGGACUUAAUGGCAAAGGUGAAGAAGAACUCCUGUCCGCAAAGGAAGUAAUCAUGAUCGGAUCCAGACAAGGGACGAGCAACUGAAGCCGCGCUUGGGUAACAGAAGAUCAGACAGAAGAUCAGGCAGGAGCGGUUUUCGACCAGCAAACACCGGAUGUUGGGGACGGGUAGGGACUUCCCCGCCGGCACAAGGUCGCUUACUGGAAGUCAGCUGCUAACGCAAGCUCAACCCCCUGGUAGCCAGCCACGCACUUUCCCAAACCACCCUCCCCCUUGUAGGGCAAAAGUCAGCCAAGACGUUCCUCUAAAGCGAUGCACGUUAUCAAACGUGGUUUUGACCCAGUGUGUAAGUAGCCGCUGCCCUGAGCCCCUUUAAAGGGCCUCCCUCCACUCCCUGCUGCUCUUGCCACUCAUCUUAAACCUAAACAGCCCCCCCCCCCACCCCACCCCAAGACCUCUCCAAUUAGCAACCAAUCAGUCCGGGAUCCUCCAGGAACCUGCUGCAAACUGCGGCCAGCGUCAGUUUUCAUCCGGAGCACACAGAGCAAGAUGAAAGGAGAAGCAUGCUACCGGGGUUCUUCACCCCGUUCCCGGCUCCAGAACCUUCAGAACGUCUACACUGCCCCCUGGUGGCUGAAUGUUGUUAUUGGCUGGGAAUGCUAUGAGGUGAGCUUCCCUCAGAGGACUCCAGCAGUGAACCAAGGGCUAUCUGAAGCUACAGAGCAGCGACAUGGUGUCUGCACAUUCAUCUGGACAGCCUCCACCUCAGCACGGAGCCUGUUGACUUCCACUGGCUUGCCUUACAGAUUUUGAAUCUGAGAAUGCUUCUUAGGAGUCUCAAUGGUGGCUUGCACAGAGAAGAAAGAUCUGGGUAUUAAGUUAUAUGGCCAUCUCAUUCUUAUCUCCAUCGAUCAUCACAAUGUUGGAGAGAGAGGAGCAAUGCAACCCUCAUCUGUGCGGGCAAAGAAAUCAAGGCUCCCCCUCACGGUGUCCAGUUCCCUCGUCCCUCAAGGUGCGGCAUCCCCUCCCAGAACCCAUCGGACUGUGCAGGUCACUGUAAGCCUGUUGCUGAGACCCGGCUGAGACGCAAGUAGAUCUUCUGUUGCUGUUGUUCAGUCGCUCAGUCGUGCCCAGCUCUUUGCAAGCUCAUGGACUGGCAGUGCCCCAGGUUUCCCUGUCAUACACUGUCUCCCAGAGUUUGCUCAAACUCAUGUCCAUUGAGUCAUUGGGGCCAUCCAGCCAUCUCAUCCUCUGUCGUCCCCUUCUCCUCCUGCCAUCCAUCUUUCCCAGCAUCUGGGUCUUUUCCAGUGAAUCAGCUCUUUGAAUCAGGUGGCCAAAGUAUUGGAGCUUCAGCUUCAGCAUCAGUCUUUCCAAUGAAUAUUCAGGGUUGAUUUCCUUUAGGAUUGACUGGUUUGAUCUCCUGGCAGUCCAAGAGACUCUCAAGAGGCUUCUCCAACACCACAGUUCAAAACCAUCAAUUAUUCGGUGCUCAGCCUUUUUUAUUGUCUAACUCUCACAUCUGUACAUGACUACUGGAAAAACCAUAUCUUUGACUUGACGGACUUUGUCUUUGUGUAAUCGCCUCUCUUUGUGGGAACAACUGAGAAAGUAGAGUUUGCAUGUCUCCUUAGAUACACACAGGCAUGGCCACUGUCCCUUCUUUCUGGGGAGGCAGCUAGGUGGGCUGGGCACUGGCUUUCCAUCAG